rnacentral:rRNA from 1 species
UACGUAGGGGGCAAGCGUUGUCCGGAUUUAUUGGGCGUAAAGAGCUCGUAGGCGGUUCCGUAAGUCGAGUGUGAAAAAUCUGGGCUCAACCCAGUGGAGCACUCGAUACUGCGGUGACUAGAGUGCGGUAGGGGAGCGGGGGAAUUCCUGGUGUAGCGGUGAAAUGCGCAGAUAUCAGGAGGAACACCGAUGGCGAAGGCAGGUCUCUGGGCAUUAACUGACGCUGAGGAGCGAAAGCAUGGGGAGCGAACAGG